AUCUUUGUAUCCGGUUUCGGAACUAAAAAGAGGUUUAGUCAAUGAGGGAACGCUGUGCAAAUCGGCGACAGUACCCGCUGCUGUAAUUCUCUAAGAAUCCGCACAAUAGGCCACUGCAUCGAUGCCGGUGUGGGAAGGUGUUGCGGGGGAGGGAUAAGUCAGAAGACCUGCCGAAGAGAUUUUCUAUUUU
rnacentral:ncRNA from 19 species